AAUUUUGACUCAUUUCGGCCAGACUCGCACUCCAACGAAGGUGGCGAAGAUCAGACGGUUGGAUCAUUAUGGAAUUGAAGUAUGUUAUUGUAGAUGUAUUGUGUUGACCUUAGGAACUUGUGGAUCAAAAAUCCAAUAUGUGGAUAUUUUGGGUUGGAUUCCGUAGGGUUGUUGACUUUAUUGUUGACCACAUUCACCUAGAGUUGACUUUUGGUCAAAAUGUCUUAGUUCUUAAAUAUUGAAAUUAUCAUUAUCAUAGACCCGAUAGAUCCUAGUUGGCUUACUUUGAUUAGUAUGCCAUCCUGAGGGAUAUACAUCUCGGUUUGCAUGUAGGUGAAACCUUAUCAGGUUCAUGUUUAUUGUGCUUCUAUAUGUGAGUGACUUUAAUAUAUGCGGUAUGGUUAUUACCUGAAAA